rnacentral:lncRNA from 1 species
AUCAGAGGCUUCCCUUGGAGUAGAACUGGGAUAAUUACAACUGCCAUUCAUACGUGAGAGACUCAAGGGUCUGUCAGGAAGAGGACCAUGUACUCUACUUCUUUCUAAAUCUCUGACAAUCAUAGCUCGUUCGUUCAAUCAUGGCUUAUUCACUUUGGUAAUCCCAAUGCAGAACAUCACAUAAGGUUCUUCUGUCCCCUGUGAUGUGCCCUGUAUCCACAGCACAGUCAGGAAGCAAACAGCACUGGCCAUUGGUCUGGCAGGAGAGCAGCUCCAGGGCGGAGAGCAACUGAGCCAGCCAGGGCUUGUGUCUGUGUUUCACGGCCCUGUUCCUCCUGGCUGGGAUGAUGGCACCACCAGCAUGCUGGCAGGUGCAGGACCAUUGUUCAUGUCGCCCAGCUCAGCAACAGUAAAAGCCAGGCCAGGGGGAUGGCAGCUGCUCAGCUGAGCAAGGCGAUGGCGAGGGAUCGUUUCUAGAUGACUUCACAGCUGACAUCAGACACAAAUCAUUAUUGUUUAUGAAGAAGCUUUCUUUUGUCAGUUAACAUUCCGCUGUUGGACAAGAAGAUUAAAGGACCAAAUGAACGCAGUAUUUGGCUUGGUGCUGUUCUUACCCAGAGUCCAGAAUUUCAAGAAAGUGAAAUCUGGAGCCAGCUAAUUCGUGCCAUGUAUUGCUGCUUUUAACCUUCCGCAUUAAUGAACUGUCCUCAUCCAACUACUAAAGUGGGUCCAACUGGCCAAGACUUCCUUCUUUGAGCUAACAAAAUAUUUAUAUAGAUUAAUUUCGCCCCCAAUGGUAGUUAGCAUCCUACCUUUUAGUUUUUUCACUGUUAUUAAAAUGUUGAUAUGGGCCCUAUUUCUUCUCUCAAUUAAGUAGGAUCUCGUAUAUAUUCCAGUUUAUCAAAUACAUGAUUCUUAGUGGAUCUCAAUAAAAAAAGUCUGUUUAUCUCUGCUAUUUCUGAUAUCCCUUUCAGAACAUCAGGCUUAUGAAGUUGUGAGAUUGGCAGCUUGGGUU